UACGGAGGGGGCUAGCGUUGUUCGGAAUUACUGGGCGUAAAGCGCACGUAGGCGGCUUUGUAAGUUAGAGGUGAAAGCCCGGGGCUCAACUCCGGAAUUGCCUUUAAGACUGCAUCGCUAGAAUUGUGGAGAGGUAAGUGGAAUUCCGAGUGUAGAGGUGAAAUUCGUAGAUAUCAGGAGGAAUACCGAUGGCGAAGGCAGGUCUCUGGGCUGACACUGACGCUCAUGCACGAAAGCGUGGGGAGCAAACAGG
rnacentral:rRNA from 1 species